CAGUAGCCGCGGGAAUACAGAGGGUGCGAGCGUUAAUCGGAUUUACUGGGCGUAAAGCGUGCGUAGGCGGCUUUUUAAGUCGGAUGUGAAAUCCCUGAGCUUAACUUAGGAAUUGCAUUCGAUACUGGGAAGAUAGAGUAUGGGAGAGGAUGGUAGAAUUCCAGGUGUAGCGGUGAAAUGCGUAGAGAUCUGGAGGAAUACCGAUGGCGAAGGCAGCCAUCUGGCCUAAUACUGACGCUGAGGUACGAAAGCAUGGGGAGCAAACAGGAUUAGAUACCCCCGUAGUCCCUGUCUCUUAUAC
rnacentral:rRNA from 1 species